UGAAUUUACGGGAACCUAAUCGGAUGUCGUUGUUCCUUCAGCUCCGAGCGCGUAGCAGAAGGGCCGGCCAUGGAUGGUCCUCAGGUUGCACUCCGCCUCCGACACGAGGGUCGGGGCGAAUUCAAGCAGCCCGCCCCAAGAGCAGGUCGGCCUCAUCUCGUAGCCGGUCAUCAUGCUGUCCAGUGCCGUCCUCAGCGCGCUGCACCGGCAGUAGGGAACGAUCUUCUCCAGCUCCGAGCAGCACCUCUCCUUCAGCACCGGCAAGGGG
rnacentral:lncRNA from 1 species